UCUGUCCAGUGUGGUAAUCAGUGAUGUCUAACUGGUGGCUUAUCUGGUAAUGGUGCUGUCGCCUUUUAUAGAGGCGCCUUCCCUUGCAGUUCCGCCAGGCAUGGGUAUUCAUUUCAGCCACGUACAACACUGAGUGUCGAAGUGAGACCCUGUAAUAAAUUUUAAAAUCCUCUUCAGAGCUGAAGCCGGCACCGUCUUGUUCUGUUGUGUCGCCCUUCGUUUCAGCAGGUUUCCUUGUGAGAUCUCUCUAAGUGCUGUGUUUGCGGCAGCAGGCAAGAGGAGGGAGAGUGGGCUUUCUGUGGAAGCAGCACGGAAAAGUGCAGCAUUAGGUUCAAGUUUCAGCGUAAUGUCAAGUACUAGUCAGUGGGCUUGCUCCAGUGGUAAUUUUCUGCAGGUAAAAGAAAAAGAAACAUAUAGUUUUGGGAAGUAAAUAUCAAAAAUACUUCAGAAGUAGCUUUAGUUAAUGUAAUAGCCUGUAAAGUCUAAAUCAUUUUCCUGUUAAAAUGGAGAAUGUGAGGAAGAGCAAUUCUAAUGUCAGUAGUCCUUUAUGUAUUUAUGUCCAUAAAAUACAGACCUGGUGUCCUUUCCAUAUCCAUAGAAGUUCAUGCCCAUGGAGAGACCUGGCUGAAACCUGUGGAGCACUGCAAUAGCAAUUGAGACAAGUUGCCAAAUGGGAACUGAACUUUUAAUCAGCUCUUGCCAUAUGAACAUAGUCCUCUGUCUUUUGAAGGUGUCAUCUGUUGGUAGUUGCUUCCCAUCAGUGUUUGUUCAUCUUCCUUCUUUCCUUUCACUCAAAGAGGGGGAAUUUUGAAUGCAGCUGUUAUGAUGGUUGGAGUUUUUUUUAAUUGUUAUAUGCUUUUUGCUUGUGGGUUCCAGCAAGUUAGUUAGCAUUAGCCAUGCUUUGUACCUUAUUUUGUAUUUCAUUCUAAACUUGCUAUUGUGAAAGAUAUUAAUACUGUGUCAUUUCUGUCUAGAGGUUUAUGAAAAACUCUGACCUGUUGUUAGUAUCCCCAGUUGAUUGAAACUUCAGUGUACCCUCAAGGAAAGUGAGAUGAUACAUAUGGUACAGCACAGUAGAUAAAAGGUUAUGUUUCUCUCUUCCCUUUUUCAAAAAUCUGCUUUCUGGUUGUAAUUCUGGUUUCAAGUCUUGGAUAAUUUGUGAAAAGAAAUCUCACUGUUGGACAGAGGGGUAAGCAAUGGCUGAUUGCCUAUAUCAUAGGGUGAAUAAGCAGAUAUGAUACCUCUAGCCCUUUGUAGGAAGAAGAUGGUUCUGACAAUCCUUUUGGAGGUGCUGUGUAUUGUCCUCUCCUCGAAAUGCACAGAAUGUGCUUGUUGAUUCCCACAGGUUUUGGAGAGCCCAUGCUAUGGAAUAUGGGUUCAUUACACUUGGCGUUAUUUAGAAUAUUCAGGUUUUGGACUGUUUAGUAAGAGGCUCCAUGAAACCACUGUCUUGUUUUCUGUCCAGAUAUUUGGUUUAUUUGCCUCUCUGUGUUGAUCGUCUAUCCCUCUUCUUAGUCUCCCUUCUUCCUCCCAGUUCAAAUUAAUGGCGGUUUUUGAGGAAAUGAACAUUUUCCUUUUCCUUUACACUUGCACCAGAACAUCAAAGGACAGAAUGCCACUUCUUCACUCUUAGGAGUGAAGUGUUAUUUUAUAGUACCCUCAGAUUAAAUAUUGGGGUUGCUAAUCUACUUCUUGCACCGUUGUUCUUGUACUGAGGAACAGCCUGUUUGGAGCAGUGUUUGCAAAACCAUUUCAGUACAUCUCACUAUUACCAACUCAGUACUGCAACCUUAUAUAAGCCAGUCUCCAUCCACUUAACUCCAGAACAACUGCGGUGAUUAAUAUUUAUAUAAAAGCUUUCAUGUUUCCACUGCGAAAUUGUCUUACUUUGAAAAGAAAAGGUGGCUUUUUCCCUGUUGACUUCGUGUGAAAAAGCUUGCAAAGGCUUUCAGCAGCACUGCAGCUGAGGCAGGCAUCAGCAGAAGAACUAGGGUCAUCUUUAAUUCGGUAUUUCACUUUGUGAAAUUGCCUAUUCCAAGAGAAAUAAAACAUUUACAUGUAUAUUAACCAGUGUUUGCCAGCUCUUGGAAAAAAGCCAGUUCUCUCAGGGCCAAACAAAUGCUCUGAGUGAAUGAGUAAUAAUCUGCUAUUGUCACUCCUAAUUUAUGGAUGAGUAGAUAGAGUAAUGUUUGCCAUUUUAAGUUGUCCUAUUCGCAUGAAAGACUAGAAAUCACGACUAGCUAUCAGCUUGGAUUAUCGAUAGCAUGUCUGUUUAUAGCUGAUUUACUCAGUAUAGCUGUUGCAAAAGUUCAAAACCUCCCCACAUGAUAAAAAGUAAUUGUGGAAGCCGAUGAGAAUACAUGAAGGUUGCAGAGGUUUUGGGACACUAAUUUGGAAGCUACAGCCAGAGGCUGAAAGAUACAUGGCAUAUCCUCUUUAUAAAUGACAUGUCAGGUCUCUCUGUGCCUCGUUUAUUUUCUGAGGAAAUUUGUAUCGUCAUCUCGCUUGUAAUAGAAAAUUAAAAAUCUAUGGAUUCUCAAGAUAAUGGCUGUAUUGAGCUUUUGUUGUUGAUAGAUAAGUAAGAGGGGGGGCAUAAUCCUGAGUACCUUACAAUGACAUUUUUCUGUGUCUCUGAGCCUUUCCAUUUGCUUAAUCUUCCAACAAGUGCAAUUAAAAACAGUUUUGAAAACUUUGUUUUACACAUUUAUGAGCAUUCUUUUGUCAUGAAGUUAACAGCCAUCUUGGCACAAUUGGGGUGAAUAAAAAUAGCAAUGAGAAAAAUGGGUGUUUUUAAAGGGAACACUUAAAAUCCUACCCUAUGAAACCUGUCUUAAAUACUGCAGAGAGGCACACAGCCCCUCUGGAGUAGGAGUUUAAGGGAAUGAGAGUCAGUCUUGAGAUUAAAUUGUCCACAGAGUGUCCUGUGAAGUCUUCCAUGAGAUCUCCUGACUGGCUGUGGAGGAGUGUGCUAUAUCACACCUAAAUACGUAUGUAGGAGAUGGGUGAGAAGUAGAAACCUCAGCUGUCAGCCACUAAACAAAGAAACACAGUAAAGAGGUGAGGCUGAUCAUUGAUGUCUGUCUUCUCUGAUGGAUGGACUCUUCCACUUCUUUCAGUCUUUAUUUCACUUCCAUACAGCUUUUCUCCCAUGCACUGGUUUGUCUUUCUUUUCAUUUUCCUGCUUGCACGCUGAGGGGGCUUUCCUGUGCUUUCGGUCUGGACUUCAUUGUCUUGCUCACCUACUUACACUGCAUCAUAACUUUCUUUUUUCCUCCCCCCCACCUUCAUUAAACUUCCUAUCUGUCAUCUUGUUAAAUGAAAUAACAGCAAGAGCAGUUGGUGUUGAUGUUGUAGGUACCAGGAUGUCCACAGCCCAGAGUGCAGCCAUUAAUACUCUGUCUGUAAGCUGUGGAAGGCUGACUCUGAAGAGAUGCCUAAGGACAUGAUUCCUCAGCCCCUCUGAAAGUUUCUUGCACAGCCAACCACUUGAAGGAGAAGGAAUUCUUCAACCCCUUGUUUCAAAAGACCUUGGGCUAUUUUCUGCUGUUCCACUCCCUUUGCUCCCACAUUCGGCAAACAAAAGAUCCGAAGAGGAGGAUGA